ensembl:ncRNA Y41C4A.29 ncRNA
CUCGUUUUUCGCUUUUAAAUUUCUAGAAAAAAAUCUAAUUUUUCCGAAAAAAAACCACCCAAUUUUUUUUUUUUUUUGAAAACUGAGUUUCAGAAAUACAGGCCACGCCCACAAAAUGGACGAAGUUUAUUCACCACUUUUUCAAAAAUAAUUUUUUUACGGUAAACUCAAAAAUUCAAAAUUGGGGCUUCAAAAAUUUCUGAAAAAUUCAAAUUUUUGAAAAAAAAAACAAUUCACAGAAAGGGCGGCGUUAACAAGCCACACUUAUAAAAUGGGCGGCGCUUAGCAAGCCACGCCCACAAAAUGCACAAACAUUGUUUUGUUUUUUCUUAAAAAUGGUAUUCCUAGUAAAUGCACAAACCAAAUUUCGUGUAGAAAAAUUACCCAAUUUUUAAAAAUAAAUUUUAAAAAGGGCGGAGCUUAACAAGCCACGCCCAUAAAUUGGGCGAAGCUUAUUUGUCAAUUUUUCGAAAGAAAAAUUCCGGUAAAUGCGAAAAUUCAAAUUCCGAGCUUCAAAAAUCUCAAAUAUUUCCAAUUUUCGAAAAAAAAAAGAAAAUGCAAAACAUGGGCGGAGCUUAACAAGCUUUAAGUCACCACGCCCACAAAAUGGUCAUUUUUGCGCAUUUUCCCGACUACACGUGGCAAACCACUUCCCUCCGUUCCAAUAGGAAAUGCCGUUCUCUCUUUCCCAGUUUUCGUUUUUUUUUUCUUUCUUGAAUCAUACAACAUUAUUUCCUCAACUAUAUUUUGUAUUCCUUCCGCGAAACCCAAACCACCCCUGUUUGCCAUAUUUCUGUUCAAUAUACUACCCAUCCCAUCAUUCGUAGACUGUAAAUUCGUUAGCUUCUCCAUCACCAGUCAGCUUCUUCUUCAACCUGUGUAGUUUCUCUGAAAUUUCCAUUCAUUUCCCCCCGCAGCAGACCAAUCAAGAACACACAAAAAACUAAAAAAAUGUAUUGAUUUAUCGGUUUUUUUGUUGUUCUUCCUUGUUUCCACACAAAAUAUUCAGGAAUAAAUAUAACAUAUCCCCCUAA